CUUGUUUCAACAACUGCAAUUGAACCCUGGUCAUCAGAACUGUUGAGUUACCUUGUUUAGGUAGUGGGUAUUUGAUAUUGAUAUAUUUAGUUACCUUGUUUAGGUCGUGGGUAUUUGAUGUUGAAGUAUUUAGUUACCUUGUUUAGGUAGUGGGUAUUUGAUGUUGAAGUAUUUAGUUACCUUGUUUAGGUAGUGGGUAUUUGAUGUUGAAGUAUUUAGUUACCUUGUUUAGGUAGUGGGUAUUUGAUGUUGAAGUAUUUAGUUACCUUGUUUAGGUAGUGGGUAUUUGAUGUUGAAGUAUUUAGUUACCUUGUUUAGGUAGUGGGUAUUUGAUGUUGAAGUAUUUAGUUACCUUGUUUAGGUAGUGGGUAUUUGAUGUUGAAGUAUUUAGUUACCUUGUUUAGGUAGUGGGUAUUUGAUGUUGAAGUAUUUAGUUACCUUGUUUAGGUAGUGGGUAUUU